UCUUGACACCCUCACAACUUCACAACAUUUAUCGCAUAUCCUUACACCCUUGCUGGAGAGAAGCCGACGCCGCCGAAGAUCGGAAACAACACUCACCGCAUCUCGCUUGAACCGCCAACACCUUCGUCGGAGUCGGAGAACCCUCAUACCCACUCUCGACACCACCAUCUCACUUCUCCGUUUUGAUAACAAGUCGCCGGAAAGAUCAAGACGUGCUGGAUGAUCGAAGAAGACGACCGGAAAAUAGUCGCGAGUUCACGUCGAUGGCCGUUUCGGAAUAACCAUCUCGCUCGUUCUCUUGGAUUGUUCUCAAUUCUUUUCCUCGCACGUUAUUUCCAAGUAUUCGCAAUGCAACCAAUGAUGAGGAAGUCAAGAUUUGAAGAAAUGAAUAGGAUGGCCUAGAAACCCACUUUUGAAAUAAACU